GUGAUUUAUUUACCUUGUAUUUUUGCUGCCUCCUUUUGGCCCUUUUUGGUAAUGCCCUUGUUCCUCCUGUGAGCAUCAUACAUCUUUUCCUUGUAUGUAAACUCCGCCCCUCUUCUUGCUGUACUUCCUGUGUCAUGGCUGCUUGCAUUUACCUCAUGUAACUGGGACUCUUGUAUCCCACAUGCUAAGCUAAGGAAAGCAUCAUCUUUUGACCGCAUAAUACUGAAAUCCAUUCAUUCUGCUGUAUUCCUGUUGUGUGAU